rnacentral:rRNA from 2 species
GUCGAGCGAAUGGAUUAAGAGACUUGCUCUUAUGAAGUUAGCGGCGGACGGGUGAGUAACACGUGGGUAACCUGCCCAUAAGACUGGGAUAACUCACGCGGGAAACCGGGGCUAAUACCGGAUAGACAUUUUGAACCGCAUGGUUCGAAAUUGAAAGGCGGCUUCGGCUGUCACUUAUGGAUGGACCCGCGUCGCAUUAGCUAGUUGGUGAUGGUAACGGCUCACCAAGGCAACGAUGCGUAGCCGACCUGAGAGGGUGAUCGGCCACACUGGGACUGAGACACGGCCCAGACUCCUACGGGAGGCAGCAGUAGGGAAUCUUCCGCAAUGGACGAAAGUCUGACGGAGCAACGCCGCGUGAGUGAUGAAGGCUUUCGGGUCGUAAAACUCUGUUGUUAGGGAAGCAACAAGUGCUAGUUGAAUAAGCUGGCACCUUGACGGUACCUAACCAGAAAGCCACGGCUAACUACGUGCCAGCAGCCGCGGUAAUACGUAGGUGGCAAGCGUUAUCCGGAAUUAUUGGGCGUAAAGCGCGCGCAGGUGGUUUCUUAAGUCUGAUGUGAAAGCCCACGGCUCAACCGUGGAGGGUCAUUGGAAACUGGGAGACUUGAGUGCAGAAGAGGAAAGUGGAAUUCGCAUGUGUAGCGGUGAAAUGCGUAGAGAUCAUGGAGGAACACGCAGUGGCGAAGGCGACUUUCUGGUCUGUACACACUGACACUGAGGCCGCGAAAGCGUGGGGAGCAAACAGGCGAUUAGAUAACCCUGGUAGUCCACGCCGUAAACGAUGAGUGC